CCAGACACCACCUGCCUCCUACAGAGGCGUCCUCUCGGGCCCUAUUGGCCGGACCUGGGUCAAAUGCCCUCUUUGCCUUCAGCCAAUCCUAGCAAAGUGGAAGGGGAGGACCGUGACUGAUUCCCUCCAGUCAAGAUUCAUUCCCUGGGAAUGGGCCACUCUCUCUGAGCACAUGGCAUCAGGAGACCAGAACGAUUUACAUUUUAUUUUUUGAUAUUACCGUUAUUCAGUGUAGAAGGAAGAAAUGACUGCUGGGGAAAAUACCAACAAUGUUUGCAACAGGAGGCAAGGAGGUCAAGGACCAAACGUCCAGGUGUAGAUAAUGGGUUGUCACUGUGGAUGUAGAAGUCACCGAAAUGACGACAGGGGUGUGGUGGUGCCAGCAGUGAGCGGGGCUAAAGUCUUCGCAGAGGACCACAGCGAUGGGGAAGGGGCAGACAACUGCAUCGGAGGGGUGAUGUGUGCCGUCCAGGAAGGUGCUUCCACCUUCUCAGAUGGGCAGCCUACUCCCUCGGUUGUCCCGGGCCCCUGGCGUGAGGACCGUGAGGACCGUUCCUCUUCUUUGAGUCUGCCUCCUCUGUCCUUGCCCCAGGCCGCAUGCAGCCCGCCCAGCCUGCGCUCGAGCUCCCUUUCCCGGGGUCCGUCCUCAGAACCCACCGUCAGAUGGGAAAAGCUGAGGAGCAAAGGGCUCAGUCCCGGCGUCAGGAUCCAGGCAUGCUUAGGGUCAUGGAAACUCCUGGGUAAAGCUUCGGCGAUGGGCGGGGCUCCAGGGAGGACCCAUACCAGGUGACAAAAAAGCCUGCUCCCUGCUGGCUCGCAGAUCCACGAGGGUCCUGCGUGCAUGAGGUUGGGCUGCCCUGCGUGGGCGGGUAACCGCCCCCACAUCCAGUGAAACGUGGGCUCUGCGAUGAAGGGGAGAGAGCUGGCUGCCGCUAGGGGCAAAGGAUGGGGGAUGGCGUCGGGCCAGUGGCUCAGGAGGGCAGUGACAGCUGCCUGGAGAUUUGCCGGCCGAGUUGCCUGGUGAUUAGCCACACUACCAAGACUGAGCUGAGAGCCACGUGGUGAUUGGCCAGGGGUGCGGCUGUGACAUCAGGAGGAGGGCAUUGUGACGCACAGGGAGGUUAUAAAAGCCGGGUGCCCGCCGCAGGCCUCACUGAGGGGACAGAUGGCGCCUCCCCCGAGCUCCUCCUGUUCUUCACAGUGUACUACACCGCCUUCUCCAGCCCAGGGGAUGGCCCACCCCUGGCCCGCUUGUCCUGCAGGGGCCUCUCGCGCACCUUGCGCUCCACCUUCAGGUCGGUCGGCCUCUGGCGCCUCGGCGGUGCCGCAAGCGCCUGCACUGGCACCCGGCGCCUCAGCAGCCUGCGCCCCGCAGCUGGGUGUCCCCGUUCUGCAGGGGGAAGUCAUGUGCGUGGAAUCAGAGCACAGCGGCUCCUCGCCCAGCCGGAGAGGGCCCCUCCCAGACCCACAGCGUCGCAACCGGGUUCAGCACAGGGGGCUCGAGUUCCUCGGACACUCAACAGACAUCCCACCCACCUCAGCAAUGGGUGAAUGAGGCUGCUGGACACCUGGUCAAUUGCGAGCCCCCACCCCAGCUCAACACAGAGCAAGCGAGUCCCCCAGACACGCAGCCCACCCCAGGAGGGCGCAGAAAAGGAGCCGGGGCGGAAUGUGGGCCCCCUCCUUGAGUGGAGGUGAUGUGAGCUUCACAAUGUAUGUGAGUUUUAAACUGUGUUGAAAUGCAAAAGAAGUGUCCCCGAGUGAUUGCGAUGUACAGCUCAGGGUCACAGGCACUGCACGUCCCAUGAGUCGUCACAUUCUCCAGCUGGUCGGUCCCGACAGGGCCAGUGUCUGAUCUGACUCAGAGCAGAGCCGAGGUGGACAGGGGUCUCCACAGCUCUGAGAAAGUGCCCGUGAACUAUAGAGAGCUGACACUGAGGACAACCUGCCCCUCCCCGUCAACACUUUUCAUACAUGUUGACGACACUGAAAGUCAAAGCUGCACUGAGGUGGGCGCCGUUCUGAUAAAUAGAAAAGCAAAAGCAGUGUCCGCACCGGCUGUUUCUUCCCAGACCACUUCUGGCCGAGACCUCCCAGCCAGUUUGUGGCAGACGUGGGCUCAGACCCGGAUGGGACCGCUCCAAGCUGCUUCGGCCCGCAGCAGGUGUCAUUUCCCAGGAUCCCCUGAGGGAGCCCAGGCUGUGGGGGCAAGCAAGGAUGGGCCAGUUCCACGAUGGGCUAGAGCGCUGCACUAACGUGAGAUGGGACGCACGUUCCCCACCUAUCCACUCCCCCCAAUUUCCUGCUUGUGAAUGACCUCUGCCCUCAUCCCCACCACCAAAAUGUAGUCGCAGAGGGAAAAUAGCCUGGUAGUCACCUCACCUGGAAGCCCCAAGGGCCAGUCUCUCCCUCUCCCUGCAUCAGCCUGGACCUGAUGUGUGGUGCUCCCACAUCCACCUGGGCGCUCCCUCAGGGAACUAGAGCCUUCACCAGCCAUUCCAGAACCAGGAUUCUCAUGGAGGGUUCUCCUUCCAGGCGGCCACCAGGGCCAUGCCCACACCCAGCCCAGCCUCUUCCAGGCUGCAAGCCUCAGAUUAGGGAUGCCACAGGAGAAAAUUAUGUGUGACGUGAAAGGAGGAAGUCAAGCAGUGGCCACUACCCUUGCAGGGGAACGUGGGAAGCCAGGCACUAUGAAACCUGCAUACGUCACUGACCUGCUGUCCCCUCGGCCCCUUGUCUUGUGUCAGGUCCUGGGAGAACUCUGUCCUGGGCUGAUCACUGUUCGCCAAGAUCCAAUCACCGAAGCAGGAAGAUGGGGUGCUCCAACUGACCAAGCCUGAUCCGGCAGCCACCCUCACGUCAGGGGUUCCUCAGAGGAAAGAGUGUUUUUACAACCAAAUGAAGGCAGAGGAACACUUGUUAGACAAGAACAGUAAAUGCUCGCUCCAGUUGUGUCUGCUCGCUCCAGUUGUGUCAGCUGUAUUUAAAUCUUGGCCAUUCUAUGCAGCCAUCCUGGGCAUGGAAUCAGCACCAAGCCAGCGUCUGCACAGGGAAGUAAUAGCCCUCUCAACACGGAUGAUACUGCAUGCUGCUUUGUAAUCUGUUUUAUUUUCACUUAACGUUAUAAGAUAAACAUUUCCUCAAGACAUCAAGAAUUCCUUAUGACAUAUUUUAAAAUGCUGUAUACUAUUUCAUCUAUGUACCAUCGUUUGUCUAAUUAUUUCCCUAUUCUUAGACACCAUGUUAUUUUCUUCCUUUCUUUUUUUGUGUCUGUAAAUAAUAUACAGCAAUUUGAACAUUUUUUUCAGAAUUUCUGACUAUUUCUUUAGAAUAAAUUGUAUUAUAUUGGCUAGAAAUUUCCAAGCUUAAAUUUGGAGACCAUGAACAAG
ensembl:lncRNA